UGCAAGACUUCAGCAUAUGGGGUUGGUGUA
rnacentral:piRNA from 1 species